rnacentral:rRNA from 1 species
GACGGAGGAUGCAAGUGUUAUCCGGAAUCACUGGCGUAAAGAGCUCGUAGGCGGCUUGUCGCGUCGACUGUGAAAUCCGCGCUCACUGCGGUCGUGCAGUCGAUACGGGCAGGCUAGAGUUCGGUAGGGGAGACUGGAAUUCCUGUGUAGCGGUGAAAUGCGCAGAUAUCAGGAGGAACACCGAUUGCGAAGGCAGCUCGCUGGGACGUACUGACGCUGAGACGCGAAGC